rnacentral:rRNA from 1 species
CGCGUGAGUAACCUGCCUUUCAGAGGGGGAGUAACGUUCUGAAAAGAAACGCUAAUACCGCAUGAGACUACAGAGCUGCAUGGCUCAGUGGUCAAAGGAGCAAUCCGCUGAAAGAUGGACUCGCGUCCGAUUAGAUAGUAGGCGGGGUAACGGGCUCACCUAGUCGACGAUCGGUAGCCGGACUGAGAGGUUGAACGGCCACAUUGGGACUGAGACACGGCCCAGACUCCUACGGGAGGCAGCAUG